AAUUUCAGCCUCAAACUGGAGGCACAAGUCAGGAAAUGAAGGACCAUUUAGGAAAAGCUGAAAUCUAAAUCAGGGACUAAAAGGAAAACAAGGAAAAGGUGUUGCCCUAAGGCUCCACUAUAAAAAGAGACAAUCAGAACAUUUUUAGGGAUCCCCUUUUGAACUUUAGAGAGAUUUUUCACCUUUUGGAAUUCAUUUUCU
rnacentral:lncRNA from 1 species